rnacentral:snRNA from 1 species
ACCUCUUUGAUUUCAUUGAUUA